rnacentral:piRNA from 1 species
UGCAGUUGGUUCAAAUGCAAU